ensembl:miRNA
AGGUGGGAGAAUGGCUUCAGCCUGGGAGAUGGAGGUUGCAGUGAGCAGAGAUCACAUCACUGCACUCCAGCCUGGGCAACAGAGUGAGAUCUUGUCUC